GAUGAAGAACGUAGCGAAAUGCGAUACUUGGUGUGAAUUGCAGAAUCCCGUGAACCAUCGAGUCUUUGAACGCAAGUUGCGCCUCAAGCCAUUAGGUUGAGGGCACGUCUGCCUGGGCGUCACAUAUCGUUGCCUGAUGCCAGUUUCCUCGUGAUGGGUGACUGUGCAGGGCGAAUGAUGGCUUCCCGUGAGCAUUGUUGCCUCAUGGUUGGUUGAAAAUUGAGUCCUUGGUAGGGAGCGCCGUGAUAGAUGGUGGUUGAGUGACGAACGAGACCCAAUCAUGUGAGACCCCUACCGAAUUUGGCCUUCAUGACCCACAUGCGUCUUUGGAACGCUCAUGACGUGACCUCAGGUCAGGCGGGGCUACCCGCUGAGUUUAAGCAUAUCAAUAAGCGGAGGA
rnacentral:misc_RNA from 1 species